AGAGUUUGAUCCUGGCUCAGGAUGAACGCUGGCGGCGUGCUUAACACAUGCAAGUCGAACGAGCUUCGGGCUAGUGGCGGACGGGUGAGUAACGCGUGGGAAUCUGCCCUCAGGAGGGGGAUAACGGCCGGAAACGGCCGCUAAUACCCCAUAUGCCGAGAGGUGAAACGAAAUUCGCCUGAGGAUGAGCCCGCGUCUGAUUAGCUAGUUGGUGUGGUAAUGGCUCACCAAGGCUUCGAUCAGUAGCUGGUCUGAGAGGAUGAUCAGCCACACUGGGACUGAGACACGGCCCAGACUCCUACGGGAGGCAGCAGUGGGGAAUUUUCCGCAAUGGGCGCAAGCCUGACGGAGCAACGCCGCGUGAGGGACGAAGGCCUCUGGGCUGUAAACCUCUUUUCUCAAGGAAGAAGACAUGACGGUACUUGAGGAAUAAGCCACGGCUAAUUCCGUGCCAGCAGCCGCGGUAAUACGGGAGUGGCAAGCGUUAUCCGGAAUUAUUGGGCGUAAAGCGUCCGCAGGCGGCCCAGCAAGUCUGUUGUUAAAAAGUGGAGCUCAACUCCAUCCAGGCAAUGGAAACUGCUGGGCUAGAGUGUGGUAGGGGCAGAGGGAAUUCCCGGUGUAGCGGUGAAAUGCGUAGAUAUCGGGAAGAACACCAGUGGCGAAGGCGCUCUGCUGGGCCAUAACUGACGCUCAUGGACGAAAGCCAGGGGAGCGAAAGGGAUUAGA
rnacentral:rRNA from 1 species